UACGUAGGUGGCAAGCGUUGUUCGGAUUUAUUGGGCGUAAAGCGCGUGUAGGCGGCCAAGCAGGUCCGUUGUGAAAACUCGAGGCUUAACCUCGAGACGUCGAUGGAAACCGCAUGGCUAGAGUCCGGAAGAGGAGAGUGGAAUUCCUGGUGUAGCGGUGAAAUGCGCAGAUAUCAGGAAGAACACCCGUGGCGAAGGCGGCUCUCUGGGACGGUACUGACGCUGAGACGCGAAAGCGUGGGGAGCGAACAGG
rnacentral:rRNA from 1 species